rfam:Candidatus Burkholderia brachyanthoides strain TZHbot7 BRCHctg493, whole genome shotgun sequence.
CCUGCUAGCACAGGGGUAGAGAAACCAGCCGUAACCUAAGGGUGCAUGCAUGGUUGGUAACGACCAUGUGUGAAGCCACC